UACAGAGGUCUCGAGCGUUGUUCGGAUUUAUUGGGCCUAAAGCAUCCGUAGCCGGUUCUACAAGUCUUCCGUUAAAUCCACCUGCUUAACAGAUGGGCUGCGGAAGAUACUAUAGAGCUAGGAGGCGGGAGAGGCAAGCGGUACUCGAUGGGUAGGGGUAAAAUCCGUUGAUCCAUUGAAGACCACCAGUGGCGAAGGCGGCUUGCCAGAACGCGCUCGACGGUGAGGGAUGAAAGCUGGGGGAGCAAACCGG
rnacentral:rRNA from 1 species